rnacentral:rRNA from 1 species
ACUCAAAGGAAUUGACGGGGACCCGCACAAGCAGUGGAGCAUGUGGUUUAAUUCGAUGCAACGCGAAGAACCUUACCCAGGUUUGACAUGCAGAUGACCGUUCUAGAAAUAGGACUUUCCUUCGGGACAUCUGCACAGGUGCUGCAUGGCUGUCGUCAGCUCGUGCCGUGAGGUGUUUGGUUAAGUCCAGCAACGAGCGCAACCCUUAUCAUUAGUUGCCAACAUUUAAGGUGGGAACUCUAAUGAGACUGCCUGGGUUAACCAGGAGGAAGGUGAGGAUGACGUCAAGUCCGCAUGGCCCUUAUAUCUGGGGCUACACACGUGCUACAAUGGUCGGUACAGAAGGCAGCGAAGCCGCGAGGUGAAGCAAAUCCAAAAAACCGAUCCCAGUUCAGAUUGUAGUCUGCAACUCGACUACAUGAAGACGGAAUUGCUAGUAAUGGCGAGUCAGCAACAUCGCCGUGAAUACGUUCCCGGGUCUUGUACACACCGCCCGU